AUUGAACGCUGGCGGCAGGACUAACACAUGCAAGUCGAACGAGUGGCGGACGGGUGCGUAAUGUCUGGGAAACUGCCUGAUGGAGGGGGAUAACUACUGGAAACGGUAGCUAAUACCGCAUACCAUCAGAUGUGCCCAGAUUGGAUUAGCUUGUUGGUGGGGUAACGGCUCACCUAGGCGACGAUCCCUAGCUGGUCUGAGAGGAUGACCAGCCACACUGGAACUGCGACAGUGUCCAGACGCCAACGGGAGGCAGCAUGGGGGAAUAUUGCACAAUGGGCGCAAGCCUGAUGCAGCCAUGCCGCGUGUAUUAAGAAGGCCUUAGGGUGGUAAAGUACUUUCAGCGGGGAGGCGUUAUCCGCAGAAGAAGCACCGGCUAACUCCGUGUCAGCAGCCGCGGUAAUUC
rnacentral:rRNA from 1 species